UACAGGGGGGGCAAGCGUUGUUCGGAAUUACUGGGCGUAAAGGGCUCGUAGGUGGCCAAUUAAGUCAGACGUGAAAUCCCCAGGCUCAACCUGGGAACUGCGUCUGAUACUGGUUGGCUUGAAUUCGGGAGAGGGAUGCAGAAUUCCAGGUGUAGCGGUGAAAUGCGUAGAUAUCUGGAGGAAUACCGGUGGCGAAGGCGGCAUCCUGGACCGAGAUUGACACUGAGGAGCGAAAGCCAGGGGAGCAAACGGG
rnacentral:rRNA from 1 species